UACGUAGGGUGCAAGCGUUGUUCGGAUUUACUGGGCGUAAAGGGCGCGUAGGCGGCCACGACAAGUCACUUGUGAAAUCUCCGGGCUUAACUCGGAACGGUCAAGUGAUACUGUCGGGCUAGAGUACAGAAGGGGCAACUGGAAUUCUCGGUGUAGCGGUGAAAUGCGUAGAUAUCGAGAGGAACACCUGCGGCGAAGGCGGGUUGCUGGGCUGAUACUGACGCUGAUGCGCGAAAGCCAGGGGAGCGAACGGG
rnacentral:rRNA from 1 species